UACAGAGGAGCCAAGCGUUGUCCGGAUUGACUGGGCGUAAAGCGCACGCAGGCGGUUGCGCGCGUGGGGGGUGAAAUCUGGCCGCUUAACGGCCAGGCGCCAUCCCAUACGGCGCGACUGGAGUGAUGCAGAGGUCGAUGGAAUUGCCGGUGUAGUGGUGAAAUGCUUAGAUAUCGUCAAGAACACCGAUAGUGUAGACAGCUUACUAGGCUUCAACUGACGCUGAGGCACGAAAGUGUGGGGAUCAAACAGG
rnacentral:rRNA from 1 species